ACAAUCUUAACGAUGGAUGUCUUGGUUCCUAUAGCGAUGAAGGUCGCAGAUAAAUGCGUACAUGUGACACGUAAUGUGAUGUAAACACAUUAAAAACGUGAAUCAUCUAUAUGGCUGAAUGUAGUUAGUG